UGUGAGAGAGAGAGAGAGAGAGAAUGUGUGUGUGUGUGUGAAUGGUUUAGGCAUCUUUUAGGAGAUGCAGCGGUUUACAUUGGCAUUGCCCACUUGAGAUCCCUUUGUGGCGGAGCGCGCUGACCGGUAACCCCGGGUCUUGCGGUCUGGUCAAGAAGAGGUGAUGUGGGCACGGUUUCAGUUGUAGUUCUAGAGGAACAUUGCUUCCGAUCGAUGUCUCUUAUGCACUCCUCAGUCAGAAGAACUGUGUGCGCUCUUCACCAUCAUGGCUCCCAGCCUACAGGUUUCUGACCUGAACAACUAACUUCUUCCCUAUUUCUCCUCCCCCUGUUUCCCUCUCCUCCUCGGCUCUCUUGUUCACUCACACCUUCCCUCCCUCCCCCCCCUCCCUCUCGCAGGGCUUGGUUCAAAGGGGGCAACGAGCCAAGCGGGGCGCGGUCUCAACCCUUUCUGAAAACGAGCACAAAGAGAAAAAAAAAGUAUUGUCAAGCGCUCCAAACUUCGUUUAAAAUAAGUAAAUGCGACCUUGGCUAAUAAUUUAAAAACAAAACAAAAGCAACACCCUACAAACUCUCUGUCUCUCACGAUACGUGUUGUCUUGUGGGGGGGGGGGGGGGGGGGGGGGGGGGGGGGGGUGUCGGAGAGAGGGGGUGUGGGUGUGGAGGGGACCCGAUGUGAAUGUUACCACUAUAGGAUGGCGAGGUUGGGCUCUGAGCUGCAGUGAGAGCAGAGAGCGAGAGAGAGAGAGUGCGUGUGCGCGUCAGCAGCAAAGUUAAAUACAAAGGGCUUGUACGCGGUGGCAAGAGAGGUUUCCUUUGUUCUCGUCCGGGGCUUGAGAGAGAUCGGAGAGAAUGAACCAUCGCACACCACUCCUAACACUCCUGGAGGGCUUACAAGCUGUGGCUGCAGGUGAUAUCCACGUCCAUGCCUCAAGGAUUGACAACGAGUGACAUCGGGACUAGAAGAUAGACGUCUGACUGCCUCUAGCCCUUUGCCAAGGCGCUUCGAAACAAAGCUGCCCAGCUUUGACUGAUAGACUGGAGUAUCACAGCUCAUGUUGGGCUAAUGCUCUGUGGAACCUCUCAUCCUGGAAACGUUGUGAAACCUGACAGAUGUUGGAAUACUUCAUUGGAAUAAAAAUACACGAUGGGAUAUUGCAGAGUCACACAGCACUUCAAAUUGGAUUUGUGUACUGGAAGGUGUUACAAUGGUUGGAAUAAUUCGAAAGGAACACCUUGUGUUUAGAAUAAUGUAACACGCUACAAUAAUGGAAUAAUGUGCUGGAUUAUGAUUAUAACAUUGCAUUGGAACAGAAUACAGCAAUUUAUACUGGAGCUCAACUGAAAUACAACAUCCAGAGUGAAAUGGUGGAACAAUGUGCGGGAACACAAAUGGAAUAUUCUACUGGAACCUUGAACCUGGCACGGUGGCGCAGCGGUAGAGUUGUUGCCUGACAGAGCUUGCAACGCCGGAGACCCAGGUUCGAUCCGGACUACAGGAGCUGUCUGUAUGGAGUUUGUACGUUCUCCCUGUGACCUGAGUGGGUUAUCUCAGAGCUCUUCGGUUUCCUCCCAUUGCUGGUCGAUGGGCCGAAGGGCCUGUUUCUGCACUGUAUCUCUGAACUAAAACCUGGGAUCAGAAUUACACAUGGAAUACAAUAAUACAAACUGGAAUACGACACUGGAUCAUGGCAACAUGUAUUGGACAAGCGUAUAGCGCCUUACUUUGGAAAUGACCUGGGACAGUUCCCACCAGAAUUCUGCUCUGGAAUACAAUAUUUGAUGUAGGAAUUAUGUACCGCAACAAAAUACCUUGCACAAGAAUAAUCCAUUGGAAUACAAAUCCUUUCUUUGGUCUUAUAAUACAUUUGAUGGAAUAAUGUACUCGAUUACCACAUCUUAUGGGAAUACAAUCUCUUGUGCUGGCAUAAUGUGUUGGAUUACCUGCUGCUGCAAUAAAUCACAGGUUUACAACACUUUACAUCAGAAUACUGUACUGGAGUACAAUAUGUUACUUUGGAAUAUUGGGAAACUUCUGCUGGAAUUAUGUAAGAUUGUAAUACCUUGCAUUUGAAUGAUGCACGGGGGCACAACACCUUGCAUUGGAGUGAUGCAUUGGAGCAUGACAACUUGCAUUGGAGUGAUGCACUGGAGCAUGAUACCUUGCAUUGGAGCACAACGCCUUGCAUUGAAAUGAUGCAUUGGAGCAUGACAACUUGCAUUGGAUGCACUGCAGCAUGAUACCUUGCAUUGGAGCACAACACCUUGCAUUGGAAUAAUGCAUAGGAGCAUGACACCUUGCAUUGGAAUGAUGCAUUGGAACAUGACACCUUGCAUUGGAAUGAUACGUUGGAGCAUGGUACCUUGCAUUGGAAUGAUGCAUUGAAACACGACACCUUGCAUUGGAAUGAUACGUUGGAGCAUGGUACCUUGCAUUGGAAUGAUGCAUUGGAGCACGACACCUUGCAUUGGAAUGAUGCAUUGGAGCAGGAUGCAUUGGUGUGACGCACUGGGUCACAACCCCUUGCAUAGGAAUGAUGCAUUGGAGCAUGACAACUUGCAUUGGAGUGAUGCACUGGAGCAUGAUACCUUGCGUUGGAGUGAUGCACUGGAGCAUGAUACCUUGCGUUGGAGUGAUGCACAGGAGUACAACCUUGGUGCUAGUUGUCUUUGCUCGAUUGAACGCAUUAUAUUGGAGCAAUGUACAUGAACAGAUGUAAAGAGAAAAUGUGGGAGAUUCUCAACAGCAUCCGAGGACUAGAAAGGUGUAGAAAUUUGGUAACCAUUGUAAGUUGCUGGGCAAGGUGUGGGAAUGAGGGGAAAAGCCUGUAAUCGCGUGGAAAGCAAGAGACGUAUUGACACAACAAUGUGUGGGUUGACAGAGAUGAUAAAGGCUUGUUAAUUGAA